AAAGUCGUAACAAGGUUUCCGUAGGUGAACCUGCGGAAGGAUCAUUAACGAGUUUACUGAGCUGUCGCUGCCCUCUCGGGGGAUGUGCACGCUCUUUCACUCAUCUAUACACCUGUGAACCUAUGCGAGUUUAAUGGGGGAUUAGCGAAAGGGCCGAAAGGUCUCGACUAGCGUUCUCUGUCGGCUCGAUUUUUUAUAAACUCUUGUAUGUCUUAGAAUGUCUACUUUGCUUAACGCAAUAAAUACAACUUUCAACAACGGAUCUCUUGGCUCUC
rnacentral:misc_RNA from 1 species